rnacentral:lncRNA from 1 species
GUGGUGAUGGGGUUGGAUCAUAACUUCCACCAUUUCCACUACCUGAUGGUGGUGAUGGGGUUGGAUUAUAGCUUCCACCACCUGGGGUAGUUGAUGGUGUUGGAUUGUAACUGUCACCACUUCCACUACUUGAGGGUGGUGAUGGGGUUGGAUCAUAACUUCCACCAUUUCCACUACCUAAUGGUGGUGAUGGGGUUGGAUUAUAGCUUCCACCACCUGGGGGAGUUGAUGGUGUUGGAUUGUAACUACCACCACUUCCACUAUCUAAGGGUGGUGAUGGGGUUAGAUCAUAGCUUCCACCACUUGGGGGAGUUGAUGGCGUUGGAUUGUAACUACCACCACUUCCACUAUCUAAGGGUGGUGAUGGGGUUGGAUCAUAGCUUCCACCACCUGGAGGAGUUGAUGGUGUUGGAUUGUAACUACAGGUAGUUGAUGGUGUUGGAUUGUAACUGUCACCACUUCCACUACUUGAGGGUGGUGAUGGGGUUGGAUCAUAACUUCCACCAUUUCCACUACCUGAUGGUGGUGAUGGGGUUGGAUUAUAGCUUCCACCACCUGGGGUAGUUGAUGGUGUUGGAUUGUAACUGUCACCACUUCCACUACUUGAGGGUGG